AGGGUACUUGCCGGAAGGAUAUUCACACAUUCGGUCUAACAACACGGUUUCCACCCAGUUGUCAUUACCAGUACUUGCCUCCUUUGGUGGUUUUGGGCUGUGUUUGAUCUGGUUGUAUGGAGCUGUAUGUUUUGACUGAGCCUCUCUAACCUUACCCAUCCAACCUUUGAAUCUGACGUUUUUUUACCCUACCUAACACCGAUUUUUUUCUGCUACCUUUUACUUAUUUUGUCCAUGUGGUUGCAAUAAUGUGAGGUAAUAUGGAAUGAGGGGAAUGGGGGUGCUAGCGGGGGAUAUUGAAGGGUUUUAUAAAUUCCUGUGGAAUCAAGCAGGGCUCAGGGUAACCAAAUUUUAUAGACCUGAAAGCAGUUCGAGUUUACCCAA
rnacentral:misc_RNA from 1 species